rnacentral:rRNA from 1 species
UACGUAGGUGGCAAGCGUUGUCCGGAAUUAUUGGGCGUAAAGAGCUCGUAGGCGGUCUGUCGCGUCGGAUGUGAAAGCCCGGGGCUUAACCCCGGGUCUGCAUUCGAUACGGGCAGACUAGAGUGUGGUAGGGGAGAUCGGAAUUCCUGGUGUAGCGGUGAAAUGCGCAGAUAUCAGGAGGAACACCGGUGGCGAAGGCGGAUCUCUGGGCCAUUACUGACGCUGAGGAGCGAAAGCGUGGGGAGCGAACAGG